GAUGAACGCUAGCGAUAGGCCUAACACAUGCAAGUCGAGGGGCAGCAUAGAGUAGCAAUACUUUGAUGGCGACCGGCGCACGGGUGAGUAACACGUAUGCAACCUACCUACAUCAGGGGAAUAACCCGGAGAAAUUCGGACUAAUACCGCAUAAUACAGGGAUGCCGCAUGGCAAUAUUUGUUAAAGAUUUAUCGGAUGUAGAUGGGCAUGCGUUCCAUUAGCUAGUUGGUGAGGUAACGGCUCACCAAGGCAACGAUGGAUAGGGGAACUGAGAGGUUUGUCCCCCACACUGGAACUGGGACACGGACCAGACGCCUACGGGAGGCAGCAGUGAGGAAUAUUGGUCAAUGGACGAGAGUCUGAACCAGCCAAAUCGCGUGAAGGAAGACUGCCCUACGGGUUGUAAACUUCUUUUGUACAGGAAUAAAAGACAUUACGUGUAAUGUAUUGCAUGUACUGUACGAAUAAGCAUCGGCUAACUCCGUGCCAGCCGCCGCUGUAA
rnacentral:rRNA from 1 species